rnacentral:rRNA from 1 species
UACGGAGGGUGCAAGCGUUAUCCGGAAUCACUGGGUUUAAAGGGUGCGUAGGCGGUCAGAUAAGUCAGUUGUGAAAUACCCCGGCUUAACCGGUGGAACUGCGAUUGAUACUGUUUGACUUGAAUCAGGUUGAGGUAGGCGGAAUGAGGCAUGUAGCGGUGAAAUGCGUAGAGAUGUGGAGGAACACCAGUGGCGAAGGCGGCUUUCUGGUCUGUAACUGACGCUGAGGCGCGAAAGCGUGGGGAGCAAACAGG